rfam:Schistosoma curassoni strain Dakar, Senegal genome assembly, scaffold: SCTD_scaffold0005349
AUCCAGAUGAUGACGAGUCCCAAAUAGGACGAAACGCUCGUCAAACUGGAU